ACCUUGUGGGAACAUGGAGAUCAUUUUUCACUUCGGCCAAGGAUAAGUGCUCACUAACACAGAUUUCGACAGGUUUGAGAACAAUAUUUGAGAUUUAUGGAUCUUUUGUGCAUGAAGAAAAUAUUUCAGAUCUUUGGAAAAUGGGAGCAAAAAUUGUUGCAUUUAUUUGUUUGUUCAGUGUACUUUGGACAGAGAGCCACAGAGGCAGGAUCACUGAAGACAUUAAAGAAAGGCUAAACUUAAUAUAUAGUUUUAAGUUAUGAAUAUAUGUUUACAAUAUGUUAAAAUAUUAAGUGUGACAGAUUACUUAAAUUUUUCCUGUUUAGGCUGGUUUACUCUUUUCACUGUGAGAUACAGAGAUAAAGCAUCAAAAAUAAGCACAGCAGUAGAUAAAUUAAAUUGUGUCAGGAUUGCCUGCAGCUGGGCUCCACACCUGACUUCAAUCCUGACGCCCAAUAAAUGCCGGAAGCUUCCGCCCCUUCUGGGUCUCUGGCAUUUUCGUGGACUCUCUGCAUGAACUUGACCUGGUUUAAUUUCAUGUGUUUUGAGUUCUGGCAAUCGCCACACGCCUACGGGUUAGUUUCAGUUAUUUAUUUAAGUUAAAUCGUUUUUGGCCACAGCGCCAUUGUUUAUUUGUAUUUCUUUGUUUAUUGUAUAAUAAAACCCCCUUCCCAGUAUGUCAAACCUCUGCGCUUCCUUCCCUCGUAAGUCCGUAGUCGUGACAGAAUGCCAGAGACCCCCCCAAAAGCGCAGAGGUAGAAAGCAGAGGAGAAGAAACGCCGCGAAGGACACAGCCCGGCGCGGCGAACGCGGACGCCAGGGGAGAGACGCGCCGCCCGUUCUGGUGGAGCCUUUUCUCCCCGAGAAGCCGUGGUACGCGGCGCCGCGUGAUGACGUCACCCCCGGGAAACUCCGCGAAACCCGGAAGCGACAACGUCGGCGGGUGAGUGGGCGGAGCGAGGACGUUGGCGUCGGCAGCAGCGAGGAAGUGACGUGGGCAGCGAGCGCAGAAGAUGCGACCCCCACGAUCUUCGCCAUGUCGAGCCAAGAACUCUGCGCUCUGCUGGCAAGGCUCCCCGUGGACUGGGACGACACGGACGACGACGAGAGCACGGGAGACGAGAGUUGGGCUCCGCCCAUCGCGCCAGUCUGCGAUCGUCGCAAGGUCCGUGGGGACCCACGUCACUUCCAGGGGGGUGAGAAGCGGCAAAAACGGCGGCGUUCCUCCAGCGAGGAGGUGGGCAGCCUCCAGCCCGAAUGGCCAGAGUACUGCCCAUGGGAGCGUAUCGCGCCAUGGGUCCAGGAUGUCCGCAGGGUGGACGACCCUUGGAGUCACUGGUGGGAGGACACGGAUGACGAAAGCGAUGAUGACGUGGAUUUUCGGUGGGCGGUCGUUGCCGGGAUGGCUCCGCCCAGCGUGCGCGUCCGAGAUCAUCGCGGCGUCCAUGAUGACCCAUGUGACUUCUGGGGGUACGAGGUGGACACGGACGACGACCAGGAUGACGCCGUUUGGGCAGUCGGUGCCGGGAUGGCUCCGCCCAUCGCGCCCACACCUGCUGGAGGAGACGUCCACCCCCCUCCACACCACACACCUACCACCAUCUCCAGCGACGUGCCCAGCCCCGUGUGGGACAGCCCAAUUGUCCCGGGACCCUUCAGUGGGGCAGCAGACACAGACGAGACCACCACCAUCCUCGCGUGUCUGCUUGGGUCAGCAUGGGGCUGGAGCGCAGCCCUCGGGCAGCAGGGAGAGACAGACAGCAGUUUUCGGGACUUCCAGCAGAGACUGAGGGCGGAGUUUGAUAGGCCAGAGCCUGAGCCAGGGACCGAACUCUGCCCCUCCACCACAUCCAGCGCCAGUCAGGAUCCGGGGCAAGAAGACCAAGCAAUGGUGGGCGACGAGAAGGUCGCACCUCCCGAGAUCCUGGCUGUGCCCCCUGAGGAGGUCCCGGAGAGCCCAGAGAGGGAGCCAGACGACCCUCUCUUCUGUCUGUCUCUGUCUGUGUGUGUCUGUGUGGCAUAUGUGUCCGUAUGUCGCCCCCACUUCCCCUCUUUGUGUCCACCAGAUGGUGACCCAGCCGCGGAGCCGAACCCCAGGGAGGAGGUUCCUGACCCGAAUGUGCUGGUCCAAGGCGAGGUGGACAAGCCCCAAGGUACGAGGGUCCGUGGCCGCCAUGCGGGACCACGCCGGGGAGCCAGGCCGAGGGUCCGGGGCCGCCACGCCUGACCACGCCGGGGGAGCCAGGCCGAGGGACCGGGGCCGCCACGCCUGACCACGCCGGGGAGCCAGGCCGAGGGACCGGGGCCGCCACGCCUGACCACGCCGGGGAGCCAGGCCGAGGGACCGGGGCCGCCACGCCUGACCACGCCGGGGAGCCAGCCCGAGGGACCGGGUCCCCCAAGGGGAGGAUACAGCAGGGCAGGAGCCCUGUGGUUGCCGCCGUCCGCCCCGCCGCCUCCACUGAUGGUACUGUUGGGGCUCCGAGGACGUAGCCCUUGGAGGGGGGGCUCUGUCAGGAUUGCCUGCAGCUGGGCUCCACACCUGACUUCAAUCCUGACGCCCCAUAAAUGCCGGAAGCUUCCGCCCCUUCUGGGUCUCUGGCAUUUUCGUGGACUCUCUGCACGAACUUGACCUGGUUUAAUUUCAUGUGUUUUGAGUUCUGGCAAUCGCCACACGCCUACGGGUUAGUUUCAGUUAUUUAUUUAAGUUAAAUCGUUUUUGGCCACCGCGCCAUUGUUUAUUUGUAUUUCUUUUUUUAUUGUAUAAUAAAACCCCCUUCCCAGUAUGUCA
ensembl:lncRNA